AGCCAGACUCCUACGGGAGGCAGCAGUGGGGAAUAUUGCGCAAUGGGGGAAACCCUGAUGCAGCGACGCCGCGUGAGUGAAGAAGUAUUUCGGUAUGUAAAGCUCUAUCAGCAGGGAAGAAAAUGACGGUACCUGACUAAGAAGCCCCGGCUAACUACGUGCCAGCAGCCGCGGUAAUACGUAGGGGGCAAGCGUUAUCCGGAUUUACUGGGUGUAAAGGGAGCGUAGACGGCAUGGCAAGUCAGAUGUGAAAGCCCGGGGCUCAACCCCGGGACUGCAUUUGAAACUGUCAGGCUGGAGUGCAGGAGAGGUAAGUGGAAUUCCUAGUGUAGCGGUGAAAUGCGUAGAUAUUAGGAGGAACACCAGUGGCGAAGGCGGCUUACUGGACUGUAACUGACGUUGAGGCUCGAAAGCGUGGGGAGCAAACAGGAUUAGAUACCCCGGUAUA
rnacentral:rRNA from 1 species